AAUCUACAUCCUAUCAAGUUGGCUAGCAACAGUAACUGCCACGGGUGAUCUGAUGCUCGUGUCUUUCAGGGCCAUGCCCCUGACUUUCCUUCCAGAAUCUUCUGUUCCAGGGAGAGAAUUUUUCUUUUUUGCUUAUUCUCUGAAUGCUCCCCGAACUUCUUUGCUCUGGAUCCCGUGUUGAAUUUCUGGGGUCAUUGACCCUCGGCCUCAAAACUCCAUGUGGAAUUCUCUGGGCGCAGAGUGCUCUUGGAGAGCUCUCGCACAUUUUGUUUAUCUGAAAAAUCUUUUUUUCUAUCUGUAAAGAAUAGAGAAAGGCAGAAAUUUUUACUAUGACUGUUGUUUUGUUCUCCAGAAUUUGGGUGAUGCAAUUUCAUCCCCUUGGGCUUCUAGUAUGGACAUUUGAAAAUGCUUUUCUUUUGACUUUUGGGACCCCAAUUAAGCAUAUUAGACCCUAAGGUUCAUUUAUUCUCUCUUUUGCGGCCUCUCCCUCCUCUUCCAGCAAUUUAAGUCUCUAGCAAA
rnacentral:lncRNA from 14 species